AUGGCAUAAGCUAGCUUGACUGCGAGCGUGACGGCGCGAGCAGGUGCGAAAGCAGGUCAUAGUGAUCCGGUGGUUCUGAAUGGAAGGGCCAUCGCUCAACGGAUAAAAGGUACUCCGGGGAUAACAGGCUGAUACCGCCCAAGAGUUCAUAUCGACGGCGGUGUUUGGCACCUCGAUGUCGGCUCAUCACAUCCUGGGGCUGAAGUAGGUCCCAAGGGUAUGGCUGUUCGCCAUUUAAAGUGGUACGCGAGCUGGGUUUAGAACGUCGUGAGACAGUUCGGUCCCUAUCUGCCGUGGGCGCUGGAGAAUUGAGGGGGGCUGCUCCUAGUACGAGAGGACCGGAGUGGACGCAUCACUGGUGUUCGGGUUGUCAUGCCAAUGGCAUUGCCCGGUAGCUAAAUGCGGAAGAGAUAAGUGCUGAAAGCAUCUAAGCACGAAACUUGCCCCGAGAUGAGUUCUCCCUGACYCUUWAAGRGUCCUGAAGGAACGUUGAAGACGACGACGUUGAUAGGCCGGGUGUGUAAGCGCAGCGAUGCGUUGAGCUAACCGGUACUAAUGAACCGUGAGGCUUAACCUUACAACGCCGAAG
rnacentral:rRNA from 1 species